UAGGAGUUCGUCAUAUGAAGGACAUUCAAGUGGGUGUGACCCCUAAACUGUAGGAGGGGCUCAGUGGGGUGACAGACAUCCUGUAAGGGAUUCUCAGCUAGUGUCUGAGGACCUGUAGGAGGCUGUGUCUACAGCUGUGGGGCAGGACAAGCAUGUAGGUUCAGCCCAGGAUAAGUGCACCACCUGGCUGUGAUCCCCAGUCCAGCUGCUCCAUGUAACCUAGCUGGGAAGCAGGACCUCAGCGAAUACCGCUGCACUCUGACCUUUGACCCUUGCACGCGCCAACGAUCACCUGCUCCUCUCCCAGGAGAACGUACGAGGGCAUCCCCAGGAAGGAAAAGGGGAAACGGUGUAUGGUGGGAAUGAACGAUCUUCCCUAGAGCCUCCAGCUGGAUGAGCGCCAGCUGAGCACCUGGCACAAUGGGUGCCUGUGUAACCGAUGUGAAAUGGCUAGCUAGGUAGCGGUGGUGCGCGCUAGCAGCCUUUCAUCGGUGACGUCAC